UAGUGCAUAAUUUAAAAAAAAAUAUUAAUUUUCGGGGUUAAAAAUUCUAGAAUAUUCUAGGUGUAUUUA